rnacentral:rRNA from 1 species
CCUACGGGAGGCAGCAGUGAGGAAUAUUGGUCAAUGGGCGAGAGCCUGAACCAGCCAAGUCGCGUGCAGGAUGACGGCCCUAUGGGUUGUAAACUUCUUUUGUCAGGGAGCAAUUGGGUCCACGCGUGGGCUUAGCGAGAGUACCUGCAGAAAAAGCAUCGGCUAACUCCGUGCCAGCAGCCGCGGUAAUCCGGAGGAUUCGAGCGUUAUCCGGAUUUAUUGGGUUUAAGGGGUGCGUAGGCGGAAUAUCAAGUCAGCGGGAAAAAUUCGGGGCUCAACCCGGUCGUGCCGUUGAAACUGAUGUUCUUGAGUGGGCGAGAAGUAUGCGGAAUGCGUGGUGUAGCGGUGAAAUGCAUAGAGAUCACGCAGAACUCCGAUUGCGAAGGCAGCAUACCGGCGCACAACUGACGCUGAAGCACGAAAGCGUGGGUAUCGAACAGGAUUAGAUACCCGGGUAGUC